CACGCCUCCCUCAUGGCCCAGUUCUCCUGUUCCCUGAAGCCAGGCCUGUUUCUCUCGGAUCUCACUCUGAGCCCCGUCGAGCUUAUUCUCGUGACCGUGGCCAUGAAAGUUUCGAUGUCCUCUGCCUCCCUCUGAUCUUUGCUGCAAACCAGGACGAUGUAGGCUGUCUGGCGAUGCACCACGUUGCUAACUUGCCUUCAGGAUCGAAAAAAUGUUCUCCACAAACUAAACAAAGUUGGAUUGGGAAAUGCAGCGUGGUACCAUGGGGGCCUGAUUCGGCCAUGACCCGCCUGCCCGCAGGCGCCGACCUCAGAUGCUCAGAGCGGCCAGGGGAGAGAAGGGACACUUUGACUUUUCAAGAUCUAAGAGUUAUGGUUCCCUUUUGGCAAAAUGCUUUUGUCCUGUGAUACACUUGCGUCCUUUGUAGUAGCACCGAUUGUGGCCUUGGCAGUCCAGAUUGAAGUGAUUUUUAAGUGAAUACAGAAAGCAGCCUCACCCACACCCUCCUCUGUCAGGAAUGAAGCAUCUAUGAUGGAAAAUACCUGCAGCCUGGGAGAAAAUUUACUGCAACAGCUCCAUUGCACAUUGUGGGGUCAUAUUUUUACUGAUGUGAAAUUCUUGCUCUCUACUGUGCAAUUUUUGUUAACCACUGAAUCUAAAUCUUGUCGGGUCUUGUGCUUGCAAACCCCUGUAAUUAGUAUGAUAUCCUAGAUUGUUUUUAAAUUGAAGUGGCCUGGUUUCUGUGUCUAACCUGUGCAGUUAGAGGCCCCGGGGGUGAGAUUUUAUCUGGGGCUCUCCCCGGACCCCUCUCUUCCACUCCCUGGUUGGAGACUGAGCAUCAGAACCUCCCGUGGAAACCUGGGUCCAGAGUUUAGGAACUGGGAGGCUGGCACAGGCGAGGGGGUGCCGGGUGAUGUCAAGCACCCUUCUCUGGGACUUGCAAGGUGCCACAGGGUGGGUGGCACAUCCCCCCGCACACCCCCUGCCCUGCUGGCUGUGCAUGGUAGGGAUGGGUUCCAUCCUCAGUGGGAGGGCUUUGCUAUCUCACACAAGGCUGCCUACAGGGCUCGAAUCAAGUGUGGGGAGGAGACACCCAGAUUUGGAUCCUGGCUUGGCCAGUCCUGGCGCGGAUGUCCAGCCUCUCUGCUGGGUGAAGGCUGAAUCCCAGCACCCACCAGCGUGCUUUUUCCUCGAAGCCUAGAUGAGAUAAUUAGAAAAACCAGAGAGAUAAAGAGAACUUCCGCUCAAUCCUAGCU
ensembl:lncRNA